rnacentral:rRNA from 1 species
AUGGAUUGUGGUUUAACUGACUUGGGCUUCUCGGGCCCCAAAUUGACAUGGUGCAACAAGCAGGAGUCGAACUGCCAUGUCAAAUGCCGUCUUGACCGGGCUGUGGCAAAUGGAGCUUUCACCAGUUUGUUUGAUCUUUGUGGGGUGGAGAAUUUAAUAGCCACUACCUCUGAUCACUACCCCAUACUUAUUUCCCUGGGCUUUAAUUAUCUUCAGAGCCUCCCUACUCCAGUCCAACAGGGUUUCAAGUUCGAAGCUAUGUGGCUGCGCGCGGAGGAUUACAAAGAAACUUUCGAACGGGCAUGGUCGGAUGGUAGGGAUGGCAGCCCUUCCCUUCAGUCUACAUGGUCUAACUUAAAGCAUGUAGCUGGUUCUCUGCGGACUUGGAGCAGGGAGGCUUUUGGUAAUAUCCGGCGGAAGAUUGGGAAGUUGGAUCGUCGCCUUGCUUCUAUUAGGGCCUCGUCCCCUUCCCCUUCUUCGCUUUCGGAGGAGCGGUCUAUCGAGAGCCAACUUUGUGAGCUUUUCGAGCGGGAGGAGAUAAUGGAGAGGCAGCGUUCCCGCAUCGACUGGCUUAAGGCGGGAGACUGA